rnacentral:rRNA from 1 species
GAUGAACGCUAGCUACAGGCUUAACACAUGCCAGUCGAGGGGCAGCAUGAACUUAGCUUGCUAAGUUUGAUGGCGACCGGCGCACGGGUGAGUAACACGUAUCCAACCUGCCGAUGACUCGGGGAUAGCCUUUCGAAAGAAAGAUUAAUACCCGAUGGCAUAGUUCUUCCGCAUGGUAGAACUAUUAAAGAAUUUCGGUCAUCGAUGGGGAUGCGUUCCAUUAGGUUGUUGGCGGGGUAACGGCCCACCAAGCCUUCGAUGGAUAGGGGUUCUGAGAGGAAGGUCCCCCACAUUGGAACUGAGACACGGUCCAAACUCCUACGGGAGGCAGCAGUGAGGAAUAUUGGUCAAUGGACGAGAGUCUGAACCAGCCAAGUAGCGUGAAGGAUGACUGCCCUAUGGGUUGUAAACUUCUUUUAUACGGGAAUAAAGUGAGGCACGUGUGCCUUUUUGUAUGUACCGUAUGAAUAAGGAUCGGCUAACUCCGUG